GGAAGGGGUGUAUUUAUUAGAUAAAAAACCAAUGCUCUUCGGGGCUCCUUGGUGAUUCAUAAUAACUUAACGAAUCGCAUGGCCUUGUGCCGGCGAUGGUUCAUUCAAAUUUCUGCCCUAUCAACUUUCGAUGGUAGGAUAGUGGCCUACCAUGGUUUCAACGGGUAACGGGGAAUUAGGGUUCUAUUCCGGAGAGGGAGCCUGAGAAACGGCUACCACAUCCAAGGAAGGCAGCAGGCGCGCAAAUUACCCAAUCCCGACACGGGGAGGUAGUGACAAUAAAUACUGAUACAGGGCUCUUUUGAGUCUUGUAAUUGGAAUGAGUACAAUUUAAAUCCCUUAACGAGGAACAAUUGGAGGGCAAGUCUGGUGCCAGCAGCCGCGGUAAUUCCAGCUCCAAUAGCGUAUAUUAAAGUUGUUGAGGUUAAAAAGCUCGUAGUUGAACCUUGGGCCUAGCCGGCCGGUCCGCCUCACCGCGUGCACUGGCUCGGCUGGGCCUUUCCUUCUGGAGAACCGCAUGCCCUUCACUGGGUGUGUCGGGGAACCAGGACUUUUAC
rnacentral:rRNA from 1 species